rnacentral:lncRNA from 1 species
AAAAUAAUAGCCGGAAAAUGUAUAAAUAUACAUAUAAUUUUUAUUAUAUGCUCUUACUCUAUUGGUUUAUGUUACUUGUAGGAGUGUUGUGUAUAAAGAACAAGUGAGGUUGAAUCAGGCAGCAGCUAAUGCUCUUAUGGCAAGACUUGAAGCUCAAAGAGCAAUUUGUGAUUCUGCAGAGAGAGAGCUACACAAGAGAUUCAAAUAUAGAGAUGAACUCGAGCAACAGAUAAGACCUGAGUGGGACCAAACAAGAAAAAGAUCAAGAAUGGAUGAAUUUCCAGAUGAAGAGAGAGCUACACAAGAGAUUCAAAUAUAGAGAUGAACUCGAGCAACAGAUAAGACCUGAGUGGGACCAAACAAGAAAAAGAUCAAGAAUGGAUGAAUUUCCAGAUGAAGAGGGAGAUGAGAAGACUCUCCUCUGUCUUCCUGGCAGCAGC